GACGAACGCUGGCGGCGUGCUUAACACAUGCAAGUCGAACGGAAAGGCCCUGCUUUUGUGGGGUGCUCGAGUGGCGAACGGGUGAGUAACACGUGAGUAACCUGCCCUUGACUUUGGGAUAACUUCAGGAAACUGGGGCUAAUACCGGAUAGGAGCUCCUGCUGCAUGGUGGGGGUUGGAAAGUUUCGGCGGUUGGGGAUGGACUCGCGGCUUAUCAGCUUGUUGGUGGGGUAGUGGCUUACCAAGGCUUUGACGGGUAGCCGGCCUGAGAGGGUGACCGGCCACAUUGGUCCUGAGAUACGGCCCAGACUCCUACGGGAGGCAGCAGUGGGGAAUAUUGCACAAUGGGCGGAAGCCUGAUGCAGCAACGCCGCGUGCGGGAUGACGGCCUUCUGGUUGUAAACCGCUUUCGCCUGUGACGAAGCGUGAGUGACGGUAAUGGGUAAAGAAGCACCGGCUAACUACGUG
rnacentral:rRNA from 1 species